rnacentral:rRNA from 1 species
AGAGUUUGAUCCUGGCUCAGAUUGAACGCUGGCGGCGUGCUUAACACAUGCAAGUCGUGCGAGAAAGGGGACUUCGGUCCCUGAGUAGAGCGGCGCACGGGUGAGUAACGCGUGGAUUAUCUACCCAGACGUUCGGGAUAACGGCGGGAAACUGCCGCUAAUACCGGAUACGCUCCAAUUUCGGUUGGGGGAAAGGCGGCCUCUGCUUGCAAGCUGUCGCAUCUGGAUGAGUCCGCGUCCCAUUAGCUUGUUGGUGGGGUAAUGGCCUACCAAGGCUACGAUGGGUAGCUGGUCUGAGAGGAUGAUCAGCCACACUGGAACUGAAACACGGUCCAGACUCCUACGGGAGGCAGCAGUGGGGAAUAUUGCGCAAUGGGGGAAACCCUGACGCAGCGACGCCGUGUGAGGGAAGAAGGCUUUCGGGUCGUAAACCUCUGUCAGAAAGGAAGAACCUCCCAAGUCCGAAUAGGGCUUGGGACUGACGGUACUUUCAAAGGAAGCACCGGCUAACUCCGUGCCAGCAGCCGCGGUAAUACGGAGGAUGCAAGCGUUAAUCUGAUCCACUGGGCGUUACGCGUGCGCAGGCUGCAUGAUAAGUCAGUGGUGCAAUCGUACAGCUCGACUGUAGAACUGCGUAUGAUACUGUCGAGGCUAGAGUCAUGUUGAGGGUGACUGAAUUGGUCAUGUGAGCGUGAAAUGCAUAGAUAACAGCAGGAACAUCGGUCGCGAAGGCAGUCACCUAAUCAGUUACUGACGCUCAUACACGAAAGCGUGGGGAUCAAACAGGAUUAGAUACCCUGGUAGUCCACGCCGUAAACUAUCGAUACUCGGUGUCGUGCAAUAAACGUCAGUGACUAAGCGAAAGCAUUAAGUAAUCCACCUGGGGAGUACGUCCGCAAGGAUGAAACUCAAAGGAAUUGACGGGGGCCCGCACAAGCGGAGGAGUAUGUGGUUUAAUUCGUUGCAACGCGAAGAACCUUACCUAGGUUUGACAUCUCCCAAAUCGUCCUGAAAGGGAAGAGUGCCCUUCGGGGAAUGGGAUGACAGGUGCUGCAUGGCUGUCGUCAGCUCGUGCCGUGAGGUGUUGGGUUAAGUCCCGCAACGAGCGCAACCCUUGUUUUUAGUUGCCAGCAGGUGAAGCUGGGCACUCUAAAGAGACCGCCGCGGUCAACGUGGAGGAAGGUGGGGACGAUGUCAAGUCAUCAUGGCCCUUACGCCUAGGGCUACACACGUACUACAAUGGCGCAUACAAUGGGUAGCGAAGCCGCGAGGUGGAGCCAAUCUCAAAAAGUGCGUCCCAGUCCGGAUUGCAGUCUGCAACUCGACUGCAUGAAGUCGGAAUCGCUAGUAAUCGGGGAUCAGCAUGCCCCGGUGAAUACGUUCCCGGGCCUUGUACACACCGCCCGUCACACCACGAAAGUUGGUUUUACCCGAAAGCGUCAGGCUAACCCUCGGGAGGCAGACGUCUACGGUAGGGCCGAUGAUUGGGGUGAAGUCGUAACAAGGUAGCCGUA